rnacentral:rRNA from 1 species
CCUACGGGCGGCAGCAGUCGAGAAUCAUUCACAAUGGAGGAAACCCUGAUGGUGCGAAGCCGCGUGGGGGAAUGAAGGUCUUCGGAUUGUAAACUUCUGUUAUGUGGGAGCAAAUCAAAAAGAGAGUACCACAAGAGGAAGAGACGGCUAAUUCGGGGCCAGAAGCUGCGGUAAUACAGAGGGCCUAAGCGUUGUUCGGAAUGAGUGGGCGUAAAGUGUGCGUAGGGUGUUUCGUAAGUCGGUUGUGAAAGGCGCGGGCUCAACCCGCGGAGUGCACAUGAAACUGUGAGACUAGAGUAAUGGAGGGGGAGCCGGAAGUCGCGGUGUAGCAGUGAAAUGCGUAGAUAUCGAGAAGAACACUCGUGGCGAAGGCAGGUUCCUAAACAUUGACUGACGCUGAGGCACGAAGGCCAGGGGAUCGAAAGGGAUUAGAUACCCCAGUAGUC